rnacentral:rRNA from 1 species
GGAAACGGAGAACAAAUCCGAUGUACAGGAAGGAGGCAUCUUCUUUCUGUGAAACAUCCUUUAGGAGAUGGGGCGCGGAUGGACCUGCGGUGCAUUAGUUGGUUGGCGGGGUAAAGGCCCACCAAGACGAUGAUGCAUAGCCGGCCUGAGGGGGCGGACGGCCACAUUGGGACUGAGACACGGCCCAGACUCCUGCGGGAGGCAGCAGUAGGGAAUUUUCGUCAAUGGGCGCAAGCCUGAACGAGCGAUGCCGCGUGAGUGAAGAAGGCCUUCGGGUCGUAAAGCUCUGUUGCGGGGGAAAAAAGGCAGCAUCAGGAAAUGGGUGCUGACUGAUGGUGCCCCGCCAGAAAGUCACGGCUAACUACGUGCCAGCAGCCGCGGUAAUACGUAGGUGGCGAGCGUUAUCCGGAAUGAUUGGGCGUAAAGGGUGCGCAGGCGGUCCUGCAAGUCUGGAGUGAAACGCAUGAGCUCAACUCAUGCAUGGCUUUGGAAACUGGAGGACUGGAGAGCAGGAGAGGGCGGUGGAACUCCAUGUGUAGCGGUAAAAUGCGUAGAUAUAUGGAAGAACACCAGUGGCGAAGGCGGCCGCCUGGCCUGUUGCUGACGCUGAGGCACGAAAGCGUGGGGAGCAAACAGGAUUAGAUACCCUAGUAGUCCACGCCGUAAACGAA